rnacentral:ncRNA from 1 species
AGCACAAUAUAAGCUAUGUGUUGCUAGGCGAAGUAGUUGAGUCAUGCACCCUAGAUGGUGAGAGUCUAGUAGCCAAAAGAAUCAUUGGGUUACUCUCUAACCCGAGUAUCAAGGGGCACGUGGAAUCCCAUGUGAAUCAGCAAGGACCACCUUGCAAGGCUAAAUACUCUUGGGUGACCAAUAGCGAAGUAGUACCAUGAGGGAAAGGUGAAAAGAACCCCCAUCCGGGAGUGAAAUAGAACAUGAAACCGUAAGCUCCCAAGUAGUGGGAGGAAAAUGAUAUCUCUGACCACGUGCCUGUUGAAGAAUGAGCCGAUGACUUAUAGGGAGUGGCUUGGUUAAGGGAACCCACCAGAGCCGUAGCGAGAGUGAGUCUUCAUGGGGCAAUUUUCACUGCUUAUGGACCCGAACCUGGGUGAUCUAUCCAUGACCAGGAUGAAGCUUGGGUGAAACCAAGUGGAGUUCUGAACCGAAUGAUGUUGAAAAAUCAAUGGAUGAGUCAUGAUUAGGGGUGAAAUUCCACUUGAACCUAGAGCUAUCUGGUUCUCCUUGAAAUUAUUUGAGGAGCAGCAGUUGACUAGACCAUCUAGCGGUAAAGCACUGUUUCGAUACGGGCCAUGAGAGCGGUACCAAAUCAAGGAAAACUCUUAGUACUAGAUUGCCCUAAUAAAAGGGGUAAAGGUCAACCAGUGAGACAAUGGGAGAUAGGAUUCAUCGUCGAGAGGGAAACAACCCAGAUCAUCAGCUAAAGCCCCUAAAUGACCGCUCAGUGAUGAAGGAAGUAUGACUGCAAAGACAACGAGGAGGUUUUCCUAAAAGCAUCCAACCUUGAAAGAGUGCGUAAUAGCUCAUUGAUUGAGCACUCUUGCAUGGAAGAUGAACGGGACUAAGCGAUCUUCUGAAGCUAUGGGAUGUAAAAAUACAUCCGUAGGGGAGCGUUCCACCUCAGAGAGAAGAAUCGACGCAAGCAGGUGUGGACAAAGUGGAAGCGAGAAUGUCGGCUUGAGUAACACAAACAUUGGUGAUAAUCCAAUGCCCUGAAAACCUAAGGGUUCCUUCACAAGGUUCAUCCACAGAGGGUGAGUCGAGGCCUUAGAUCAGGCUGAAAGGCAUAGUCAAUGGACAACAAGUUAAUAUUCUUGUACUACCCCUUUUUGGUCCCGAGGGAUGGAGGAGUCUAGGUUAGCCAAAAGAUGGUUAUCGGUUCUAGGACGCAAGGUGACCCUCUAUACAUUGAUUCAAAGGUAAAAGAAUAAUCAAAUAUAGGUGUGUACAA